UAAAGCGUGCGCAGGCGGUUUUGUAAGACAGAUGUGAAAUCCCCGGGCUCAACCUGGGAACUGCGUUUGUGACUGCAAGACUUGAGUGUGGCAGAGGGGGGUGGAAUUCCACGUGUAGCAGUGAAAUGCGUAGAGAUGUGGAGGAACACCGAUGGCGAAGGCAGCCCCCUGGGUCAACACUGACGCUCAUGCACGAAAGCGUGGGUAGCAAACAGGAUUAGAUACCCUGGUAGUCCACGCCCUAAACGAUGCGAACUAGGUGUUGGAGAAGGAGACUUCUUUAGUACCGCAGCUAACGCGUGAAGUUCGCCGCCUGGGGAGUACGGUCGCAAGAUUAAAACUCAAAGGAAUUGACGGGGACCCGCACAAGCGGUGGAUGAUGUGGAUUAAUUCGAUGCAACGCGAAAAACCUUACCUACCCUUGACAUGCCAGGAAUUCUGCUGAGAGGUGGAAGUGCCCGAAAGGGAACCUGGACACAGGUGCUGCAUGGCUGUCGUCAGCUCGUGUCGUGAGAUGUUGGGUUAAGUCCCGCAACGAGCGCAACCCUUGUCGCUAAUUGCCAUCAUUAAGUUGGACACUUUAGCGAGACUGCCGGUGACAAACCGGAGGAAGGUGGGGAUGACGUCAAGUCCUCAUGGCCCUUAUGGGUAGGGCUUCACACGUCAUACAAUGGUCGGUACAGAGGGUUGCCAACCCGCGAGGGGGUGCUAAUCCCAGAAAGCCGAUCGUAGUCCGGAUUGGAGUCUGCAACUCGACUCCAUGAAGUCGGAAUCGCUAGUAAUCGUGGAUCAGCAUGUCACGGUGAAUACGUUCCCGGGUCUUGUACACACCGCCCGUCACACCAUGGGAGUGGGUUUCACCAGAAGUAGGUAGCCUAACCGCAAGGAGGGCGCUUACCACGGUGGGAUUCAUGACUGGGGUGAAGUCGUAACAAGGUA
rnacentral:rRNA from 1 species